GUGUGAGCACAUUCUCCAUCCUGUGGAGUAAUAUAAAAUAGCUUCAUUGCAUUCAGAAUACCACAAUGCCUUUUUCAGACAGCACAAGAAGAGGCAACGUCUUGGUUCAAACCUCUUUCUUGACAUGGACAGAAUCAACUUACAUGACAGCACGAGUAAAUCGCAGUAUUGCUUCAUAUUGCUGAUCAAAGAUGUCAGAUAAUUUGUUUCAACAUUGAUUAUUUCAGUAUUUCUGCAGCUGCUGUAGUCUGAAAUGCCAUGUGCAAUCAACAAAGCAUUAUUUAUCUACGAACUCCAAGUUUCAUCUAAUUAUCUACCAGCCUAUUUUGAAUAGUUAAAAAGAAGCUAUUUCUAUGCUUGAAAAGAAUUGAUUUAUGCUUUCAAUUAAAAAUAAUUAUUUCAAAGUAGUUGUGAUUUUGCAUACUCUGUGUGUGUCUGUCUGUAUAUGCAUGGUAAAAAUGAAGAGAUCUUGAAAUGUUUCAUCUUGGCAGUUUGAAAUAUAAUUCUUUUUCCAAAUACAGGAACAGCUUUUUUAGUUACUAAAAUAACACUGAAGUUCAGAGUGUUCAGAGGUUUUUUUUUGUUUUUUUUUUUAUAAAGGUUGUAGAAUAUUUUAAAAGCUCAGUUAAAGAGAAUGUAGAAAUUUUUUUACAAAAAAACAAAUAAAACAAUCACUGUAAAUGUCUGUGCCUCCAGGAGUGCUUUACAAGAUACCGCACCUCUAAAUUUAUUGAAAAUACUAGUGAAGUAGCAUAUAUUUCAACACAACUUACCUACAUUUCUUUAAGCCUUUUUUUUUUUUUUUUAAUUGCAUUCUCUUCUCCGUUUCAACAGGAAAACAAAAAACAAAAAACACCUAUUAUAACACAAAUGUUGACUUACUUAUAGUAAGAAAAUAUCAAAAGCAAAUAUUGACCUAUUCUACGUUGCUACAUAUAACGUAGAAGCCACUGGUUGAUAACACUGUAGGCUUUACUUCCAGCCUUCUAGGAGAUUCCCAAAUGUUUCUUUGGAGUACAGCAUAAUGGAGGGAAAAAAAAAAGAAAGAUUGAAAUGAGAGACAAAAAUAGCAUUCUUUCCAUUUAAUUAUAGUAGACGGAUACAUAGGACUGCUUCUCAAGGAGAUUUAUUUUAAGUGACACUAAUGACUUUGAACUCAUAACUCAUAUAUGUAAAAUAACUCCUGUUAAUCUCUGUGAUUUUCUCUCUUUUUUUCCUGGUCUGCUUUGUCCACAUCUGCUUAAUACUUUUUGAUUCCUCAAGAAUGGUGCAUAGAUGAUGGUUUUUCUCUGUCUCAUCUUGUCUAAUCUCACGUGCCACAGGGAAUAAGGAAUGGAAAUUUCAGUUUCAGAGGCCUCACAUAGAGUACAGCUUCCAGCUGUGGAGUUCUCAGAACAGGAGAGACAUGGACCUGUUGCAGUGCA
rnacentral:lncRNA from 7 species